GACGAACGCUGGCGGCGUGCUUAACACAUGCAAGUCGAACGGAAAGGCCCUGCUUUUGUGGGGUGCUCGAGUGGCGAACGGGUGAGUAACACGUGAGUAACCUGCCCUUGACUUUGGGAUAACUUCAGGAAACUGGUGCUAAUACCGGAUAGGAGCUCCUGCUGCAUGGUGGGGGUUGGAAAGUUUCGGCGGUUGGGGAUGGACUCGCGGCUUAUCAGCUUGUUGGUGGGGUAGUGGCUUACCAAGGCUUUGACGGGUAGCCGGCCUGAGAGGGUGACCGGCCACAUUGGGACUGAGAGACGGACCAGACUCCUACGGGAGGCAGCAGUGGGGAAUAUUGCACAAUGGGCGGAAGCCUGAUGCAGCAACGCCGCGUGCGGGAUGACGGCCUUCGGGUUGUAAACCGCUUUCGCCUGUGACGAAGCGUGAGUGACGGUAAUGGGUAAAGAAGCACCGGCUAACUACGUG
rnacentral:rRNA from 1 species